rnacentral:lncRNA from 1 species
GAGGAGGCGCACCGCCCAACCAUGGCGCAGGUCGUGCAGGCGUUGGAGGGCGCCGUCGUGGUCCAUGCGGCGCCGGUGCCGCGGGCGCUGCAGCGCCUCGCCACGUGAGCUCACGUCAUUCAAACGGCCACUGCCGCAGGAGAGCCUUUCCUAUGCCAAUGCAACGACCGCGCGAUAAGGUAGUUUCGUGUGGCGGGUCUUUCUUUUGGGGAGUGUCAUUUCCUGUUACAGUCUGCUAAAAAUAAAAUUGGAUUUCAAUCAGAUCUUUCAUCCAGUGACAACUUGACAGACAUUUAUGUAUGCUUGUUUGACAAAUAAACAACAACAAAAACCGACUGAAUUCAAAAUAGUUCAAGUCCAGCGGUAACUCGGGAAUUGGUGAAAAUAAGAGAUUUUUUAUUGUUU